GCAUCCUGGGGCUGGAGUAGGUCCCAAGGGUUGGGCUGUUCGCCCAUUAAAGCGGCACGCGAGCUGGGUUUAGAACGUCGUGAGACAGUUCGGUCUCUAUCCGCCGCGCGCGUGGAAACUUGAGGAAGGCUGUCCCUAGUACGAGAGGACCGGGACGGACGUACCUCUGGUGUGCCAGUUGUCCCGCCAGGGGCAUGGCUGGUUGGCUACGUACGGAAGGGAUAACCGCUGAAAGCAUCUAAGCGGGAAGCCUGUUCCAAGAUCAGGUUUCUUUUGAGGUCCCCAGCAGACUACUGGGUUGAUAGGCCGGAUCUGGAAGCACCGCGAGGUGUGGAGGUGACCGGUACUAAUAGACCGACCACACCACAAC
rnacentral:rRNA from 1 species